GACGAACGCUGGCGGCGUGCUUAACACAUGCAAGUCGAACGGUGAACCACUUCGGUGGGGAUCAGUGGCGAACGGGUGAGUAACACGUGGGCAACCUGCCCUUAGCUCUGGGAUAACCCCGGGAACCGGGGCGUAAUACCGGAUACGACCUCGAGCGGCAUCACUCGAGGUGGAAAGAACUUCGGCUAAGGAUGGGCCCGCGGCCUAUCAGCUUGUUGGUGGGGUAAUGGCCUACCGAGGCGACGACGGGUAGCCGGCCUGAGAGGGCGACCGGCCACACUGGGACUGAGACACGGCCCAGACUCCUACGGGAGGCAGCAGUGGGGAAUAUUGGACAAUGGGCGCAAGCCUGAUCCAGCCAUGCCGCGUGCGGGAAGAAGGCCUCGGUUG
rnacentral:rRNA from 1 species